UACGAAGGGGGCUAGCGUUGCUCGGAAUCACUGGGCGUAAAGCGCACGUAGGCGGAUUGUUAAGUCAGGGGUGAAAUCCUGGAGCUCAACUCCAGAACUGCCUUUGAUACUGGCGAUCUCGAGUCCGGGAGAGGUGAGUGGAACUGCGAGUGUAGAGGUGAAAUUCGUAGAUAUUCGCAAGAACACCAGUGGCGAAGGCGGCUCGCUGGCCCGGUACUGACGCUGAUGCACGAAAGCGUGGGGAGCAAACAGG
rnacentral:rRNA from 1 species